UUCCUACGGGGGGCAGCAGUGGGGAAUAUUGCACAAUGGGCGCAAGCCUGAUGCAGCAACGCCGCGUGCGGGAUGACGGCCUUCGGGUUGUAAACCGCUUUUAGUAGGGAAGAAGCCUUCGGGUGACGGUACCUGCAGAAAAAGGACCGGCUAACUACGUGCCAGCAGCCGCGGUAAUACGUAGGGUCCGAGCGUUGUCCGGAAUUAUUGGGCGUAAAGAGCUCGUAGGCGGUUUGUCGCGUCUGCUGUGAAAACUAGAGGCUCAACCUCUAGCCUGCAGUGGGUACGGGCAGACUUGAGUGGUGUAGGGGAGACUGGAAUUCCUGGUGUAGCGGUGGAAUGCGCAGAUAUCAGGAGGAACACCGAUGGCGAAGGCAGGUCUCUGGGCACUUACUGACGCUCAUGCACGAAAGCGUGGGGAGCAAACAGGAUUAGAUACCCUGGUAGUCA
rnacentral:rRNA from 1 species